rnacentral:rRNA from 1 species
AUGUCUGCGGUAGUCUGCGGCAAGAGGUCCUCCUCCAUCUUCGCGGACGACCUACUGCUCCAACAGGCCUCCUCCUCCCCUCCCUCCCCCCGCCACAGCCCCGCGCCCAAGCGCUCCCGCUACGCGCACCACCACCACCGCCGGGACGGCCGGGACGCGCUCCUCCAACACCUCCGGGCCGCCUUCCCCGCCAUGGAUCCCCAGCUGCUUGAGAGAGCCCUUGAAGCGUCUGGAGAUGAUUUGGAUGAUGCAAUAAAGAGUUUGAAGGAGCUGCACCUCAUGGAGUCAAAUCAGGCUAACCUGCCAGCCACUGGAUCCACAUUUGAAAACGGGCUAACAGCAGUUCAGCCAUCUGUUGAAGGCAUUGUUACCAGCGGCGGUGUGGACACAGCUACUGAACACCAACCUGCUGCAGAUGGCCAACAGCCAAGUAAUAGUGGCCCUGAAUGGGUUGAUCUUUUUGUGAGGGAGAUGUCAAAUGCUUCUGACAUGGAUGACGCGCGGGCCCGUGCGUCAAGAGCUCUUGAAGCCUUAACGAAGUCCAUCCUGGAGGGUGCAGGAGCUGAAGCAGCGCAGAGCUUGCAUCAGGAAAACAUGAUGCUCAAGGAGCAGAUGACAGCCGUCCUGUCGCAGAACGCGGUCCUGAAGCGCGCGGUGGCGAUCCAGCACGAGCGGCAGAAGGAGUUUGACGAGCGGAGCAACGAGGUGCAGGGCCUGAAGCAGCUCGUCCUGCAGUACCAGGAGCAGCUGAGGACUCUCGAGAUCAACAACUACGCGCUGCAGAUGCAUCUGAAGCAGGCCCAGCAGAGCAGCUCCAUGCCCGGGCGCUACAACCCGGACGUCUUCUAA